CCGGAAUUCCACUGUGAAUAAGUUGAUCUCCCCUGGAUUUCCUUGCCACUUUUUGUCUCCAUCCCUGGAAAAAUGUGGUUUGUAGAAGGGAGUGCCUGGAAUUCCAAGCACUUUCAAUCAAUGACCCUUGGAAAUGCAUUUUUUUCCGCAUGACUCCGGAAUUCCACUGUGAAUAAGUUGAUCUUCCCUGGAUUUCCUUGCCACUUUUUGUCUCCAUCCCUGGAAAAAUGUGGUUUGUAGAAGGGAGUGCCUGGAAUUCCAAGCACUUUCAAUCAAUGACCCUUGGAAAUGCAUUUUUUUCCGCAUGACUCCGGAAUUCCACUGUGAAUAAGUUGAUCUUCCCUGGAUUUCCUUGCCACUUUUUG